rnacentral:rRNA from 1 species
AGCGUACACGGUGGAUGCCCUGGCAGUCAGAGGCGAUGAAGGACGUGCUAAUCUGCGAUAAGCGUCGGUAAGGUGAUAUGAACCGUUAUAACCGGCGAUUUCCGAAUGGGGAAACCCAGUGUGUUUCGACACACUAUCAUUAACUGAAUCCAUAGGUUAAUGAGGCGAACCGGGGGAACUGAAACAUCUAAGUACCCCGAGGAAAAGAAAUCAACCGAGAUUCCCCCAGUAGCGGCGAGCGAACGGGGAGCAGCCCAGAGCCUGAAUCAGUGUGUGUGUUAGUGGAAGCGUCUGGAAAGGCGCGCGAUACAGGGUGACAGCCCCGUACACAAAAAUGCACAUGCUGUGAGCUCGAUGAGUAGGGCGGGACACGUGGUAUCCUGUCUGAAUAUGGGGGGACCAUCCUCCAAGGCUAAAUACUCCUGACUGACCGAUAGUGAACCAGUACCGUGAGGGAAAGGCGAAAAGAACCCCGGCGAGGGGAGUGAAAAAGAACCUGAAACCGUGUACGUACAAGCAGUGGGAGCACGCUUAGGCGUGUGACUGCGUACCUUUUGUAUAAUGGGUCAGCGACUUAUAUUCUGUAGCAAGGUUAACCGAAUAGGGGAGCCGAAGGGAAACCGAGUCUUAACUGGGCGUUAAGUUGCAGGGUAUAGACCCGAAACCCGGUGAUCUAGCCAUGGGCAGGUUGAAGGUUGGGUAACACUAACUGGAGGACCGAACCGACUAAUGUUGAAAAAUUAGCGGAUGACUUGUGGCUGGGGGUGAAAGGCCAAUCAAACCGGGAGAUAGCUGGUUCUCCCCGAAAGCUAUUUAGGUAGCGCCUCGUGAAUUCAUCUCCGGGGGUAGAGCACUGUUUCGGCAAGGGGGUCAUCCCGACUUACCAACCCGAUGCAAACUGCGAAUACCGGAGAAUGUUAUCACGGGAGACACACGGCGGGUGCUAACGUCCGUCGUGAAGAGGGAAACAACCCAGACCGCCAGCUAAGGUCCCAAAGUCAUGGUUAAGUGGGAAACGAUGUGGGAAGGCCCAGACAGCCAGGAUGUUGGCUUAGAAGCAGCCAUCAUUUAAAGAAAGCGUAAUAGCUCACUGGUCGAGUCGGCCUGCGCGGAAGAUGUAACGGGGCUAAACCAUGCACCGAAGCUGCGGCAGCGACGCUGAUGCGUUGUUGGGUAGGGGAGCGUUCUGUAAGCCUGCGAAGGUGUGCUGUGAGGCAUGCUGGAGGUAUCAGAAGUGCGAAUGCUGACAUAAGUAACGAUAAAGCGGGUGAAAAGCCCGCUCGCCGGAAGACCAAGGGUUCCUGUCCAACGUUAAUCGGGGCAGGGUGAGUCGACCCCUAAGGCGAGGCCGAAAGGCGUAGUCGAUGGGAAACAGGUUAAUAUUCCUGUACUUGGUGUUACUGCGAAGGGGGGACGGAGAAGGCUAUGUUGGCCGGGCGACGGUUGUCCCGGUUUAAGCGUGUAGGCUGGUUUUCCAGGCAAAUCCGGAAAAUCAAGGCUGAGGCGUGAUGACGAGGCACUACGGUGCUGAAGCAACAAAUGCCCUGCUUCCAGGAAAAGCCUCUAAGCAUCAGGUAACAUCAAAUCGUACCCCAAACCGACACAGGUGGUCAGGUAGAGAAUACCAAGGCGCUUGAGAGAACUCGGGUGAAGGAACUAGGCAAAAUGGUGCCGUAACUUCGGGAGAAGGCACGCUGAUAUGUAGGUGAAGUCCCUUGCGGAUGGAGCUGAAAUCAGUCGAAGAUACCAGCUGGCUGCAACUGUUUAUUAAAAACACAGCACUGUGCAAACACGAAAGUGGACGUAUACGGUGUGACGCCUGCCCGGUGCCGGAAGGUUAAUUGAUGGGGUUAGCGCAAGCGAAGCUCUUGAUCGAAGCCCCGGUAAACGGCGGCCGUAACUAUAACGGUCCUAAGGUAGCGAAAUUCCUUGUCGGGUAAGUUCCGACCUGCACGAAUGGCGUAAUGAUGGCCAGGCUGUCUCCACCCGAGACUCAGUGAAAUUGAACUCGCUGUGAAGAUGCAGUGUACCCGCGGCAAGACGGAAAGACCCCGUGAACCUUUACUAUAGCUUGACACUGAACAUUGAGCCUUGAUGUGUAGGAUAGGUGGGAGGCUUAGAAGUGUGGACGCCAGUCUGCAUGGAGCCGACCUUGAAAUACCACCCUUUAAUGUUUGAUGUUCUAACGUUGACCCGUAAUCCGGGUUGCGGACAGUGUCUGGUGGGUAGUUUGACUGGGGCGGUCUCCUCCUAAAGAGUAACGGAGGAGCACGAAGGUUGGCUAAUCCUGGUCGGACAUCAGGAGGUUAGUGCAAUGGCAUAAGCCAGCUUGACUGCGAGCGUGACGGCGCGAGCAGGUGCGAAAGCAGGUCAUAGUGAUCCGGUGGUUCUGAAUGGAAGGGCCAUCGCUCAACGGAUAAAAGGUACUCCGGGGAUAACAGGCUGAUACCGCCCAAGAGUUCAUAUCGACGGCGGUGUUUGGCACCUCGAUGUCGGCUCAUCACAUCCUGGGGCUGAAGUAGGUCCCAAGGGUAUGGCUGUUCGCCAUUUAAAGUGGUACGCGAGCUGGGUUUAGAACGUCGUGAGACAGUUCGGUCCCUAUCUGCCGUGGGCGCUGGAGAACUGAGGGGGGCUGCUCCUAGUACGAGAGGACCGGAGUGGACGCAUCACUGGUGUUCGGGUUGUCAUGCCAAUGGCACUGCCCGGUAGCUAAAUGCGGAAGAGAUAAGUGCUGAAAGCAUCUAAGCACGAAACUUGCCCCGAGAUGAGUUCU